rnacentral:sRNA from 1 species
GCCUGGCGUGGUGGCUCAUGCCUGUAAUCCCAGUGGCUUGGGAGGCUGAGGCAGGAGGAUCACAAGUUCAAAGCCAGCCUCAG